rnacentral:rRNA from 1 species
GUAACACGUGGGUGACCUGCCUUCGAGCGGGGGAUAACGUCCCGAAAGGGACGCUAAUACCGCAUAACAUCCUGCCUUUGAAGAGGUGGAGAUCAAAGCUGGGGAUCGCAAGACCCGGCACUUGAAGAGGGGCCCGCGCCUGAUUAGCUAGUUGGUGGGGUAAUGGCCUACCAAGGCAACGAUCAGUAUCCGGCCUGAGAGGGCGGACGGACACACUGGGACUGAGACACGGCCCAGACUCCUGCGGGAGGCAGCAGUGGGGAAUUGUUCGCAAUGGGCGCAAGCCUGACGACGCAACGCCGCGUGGAGGAUGAAGAUUUUCGGAUCGUAAACUCCUGUCGAAUGGGACGAACAGACUGCGGGUUAACAGCCCGCGAUCCUGACGGUACCGUUAAAGGAAACCCCGGCUAACUCCGUGCCAGCAGCCGCGG